rnacentral:misc_RNA from 1 species
UUUAUUACUAAACUAGAGAAUUUAAAUUAGCAUCAUUUGAUCGUUAGUACAAGAGGGAUUUAAUAAGAGAGAACAGUUAAUGUAAUGGUCCAAAACGACAUUAACCAAUACUGCAUUUCUAAUGAGCUCUUUUAUCUCUCACUAUAGCGAAAUUCAAAUAUUAAAUCUUUUAUUAAAAUUCUUAUUGCUGAAUUUCAAAUAUAGGCAUACAUCAAAAACACUCACUGAAUAAUAAUAUAGUAGGUGCAGCGGG